CUAUGGAAAGCCUGAGCCUUUUGAAAUUUUCCCUGAUAUAACGUUACCUGAUCGGAAAUUAAUAUCAAUAGACUCUCAAUUAGUGCAAAGCUAUAAUAGUUUCAAUAGGUUUUGGAGAAACUCUCCUUAUCAUUUAGGCGAUGGUGUUUUAAU